UCUGAGCUCCCCCCAGCCGACUGCACCCCUUCCCCCACGUGCCCUCCUCCGGCCCAGCCCCUGCUGCUCCCUGGGGGCUCGUUUGCGUUUGAUUUCUGAACACGCCGUUAGUACCAUCAGCAAACAGUCUCCAGCUCGUCCCGCCCAGGAAUGGACCCAGCCUGCUGCGGUGCCCGCCAGCCGCCAGGAGGAAAAGUUUUUCCUGCUUUUCUCUUCCUUCCUCUGCCGGCCAUGGAAAAAAAAGAAACAGGUUGAGGGGAGAGGGCGGGGAAACAACAACUGGAAAAUCCGCUUGGUUCACUGAUUAAAAUCUCCAGAUUUUAGCUGGGCAGGUUGGAGUUACAAAUUGCCUACUGAACACUAGGAAAAUUUCAUUUUCAAAUAGCUUCAAGACUAACAAAAAACUUUUAAUAAA